AAAUUGAAGAGUUUGAUCAUGGCUCAGAUUGAACGCUGGCGGCAGGCCUAACACAUGCAAGUCGAACGGUAACAGGAAACAGCUUGCUGUUUCGCUGACGAGUGGCGGACGGGUGAGUAAUGUCUGGGAAACUGCCUGAUGGAGGGGGAUAACUACUGGAAACGGUAGCUAAUACCGCAUAACGUCGCAAGACCAAAGAGGGGGACCUUCGGGCCUCUUGCCAUCGGAUGUGCCCAGAUGGGAUUAGCUAGUAGGUGGGGUAACGGCUCACCUAGGCGACGAUCCCUAGCUGGUCUGAGAGGAUGACCAGCCACACUGGAACUGAGACACGGUCCAGACUCCUACGGGAGGCAGCAGUGGGGAAUAUUGCACAAUGGGCGCAAGCCUGAUGCAGCCAUGCCGCGUGUAUGAAGAAGGCCUUCGGGUUGUAAAGUACUUUCAGCGGGGAGGAAGGGAGU
rnacentral:rRNA from 1 species